rnacentral:rRNA from 1 species
CAGUCGCCGCGGUAAUACGAAGGGUGCAAGCGUUAAUCGGAAUUACUGGGCGUAAAGCGUGCGUAGGCGGCUUGGUAAGUUAGAGGUGAAAGCCUGGAGCUCAACUCCAGAAUUGCCUUUAAGACUGCCGAGCUAGCAGGUGAGAGAGGUAAGUGGAAUUCCGAGUGUAGAGGUGAAAUUCGUAGAUAUUCGGAAGAACACCAGUGGCGAAGGCGGCUUACUGGCUCAUACUGGACGCUGAGGUGCGAAAGCGUGGGGAGCAAACAGGAUUAGAUACCCCCGUAGUCCCUGUCUCUUAUAC